rnacentral:rRNA from 1 species
UACGGGGGGUGCGAGCGUUGUCCGGAAUCAUUGGGCGUAAAGAGCGCGUAGGCGGCUCGGUAAGUCCGCUGUGAAAGUCAAAGGCUCAACCUUUGAAUGUCAGUGGAAACUGCCGGGCUAGAGUCCGGAAGAGGCGAGUGGAAUUCCUGGUGUAGCGGUGGAAUGCGCAGAUAUCAGGAGGAACACCAACGGCGAAGGCAGCUCGCUGGGACGGUACUGACGCUGAGGCGCGAAAGCGUGGGGAGCGAACAGG